rnacentral:lncRNA from 9 species
GUGUUAUUUCUACCCCUGAGGGUGAACUUCAAGAACAAAUGGUGUGAAGAAAGGUGAGAAGAGAUGAGAAGGGGAGGAGGUGCCACAAAAUGGAGAGCGUAUGUGAUGGUGGAAUUCACAGAAUGUACUGUGAGUGUUAGGACCUCCAGGGGCUGUUGAAUCUGUAAGGCCGGAUGGAAGGAGGUUGAGCCAUGUUUAACUUCAUCUCCAGAGGAACAGAGAUCAGCAGCUGACGUCUGAAUAGCAUUCCUCUCCUGUGAAGAGAAUGUGUCAACACGAAUUGAACACCUAAGCCAUAUUUCAUGUGAUUCUCAGAACAACCGUACCAAGACGUGAUCAGUUAUCCUCACUAUAUUUAAAACAGAAACAAACAAACAAAAAACAGAAAAACAACCUGACUUUCAGAGACCUUAAGAAAUGUAUUGAAUCUCAAGCAGCCGAGUUCAAUGGAGUUUCCUUAGAGGCAGCUGAGAGUGGCAGUGGGGUGAAUAAGUAAGUAAAU